rnacentral:rRNA from 1 species
GAUGAACGCUAGCGGCAGGCUUAAUACAUGCAAGUUGAGGGGCAGCAUGAUAUACGCGAGUAUAUUGAUGGCGACCGGCGGACGGGUGAGUAAUAGGUAGGAGACCUACCUCAUACAGGGGGAUAGCAUAGAGAAAUCUGUGGUAAUACCCCAUGAGGUUAUAUGAAUAGAGGCAUAUAAUCAAAGCAUAAGCGAUUAUGCGGUAUGAGAGGGGCCUACUGACCAUUAGCUAGUUGGUGAGGUAAGGGCUCACCAAGGCGAAGAUGGUUAGGGGUUUUGAGAGAGAGACCCCCCACAUUGGAACUGAGAGACGGUCCAGACUCCUACGGGAGGCAGCAGUAGGGAAUAUUGGGCAAUGGGCGAAAGCCUGACCCAGCCAUGCCGCGUGAAGGAGACGGCCUUAUGGGUUGUAAACUUCUUUACUACGCGAAUAGAGGUUAGUACGAGAUACUAAUAGGAAGUAGUGUAGUAAAAGCACCGGCUAACUCCGUGCC